rnacentral:snoRNA from 1 species
GCGGUCUGAAAAUCACUUGGGAGUCUCUUGUGGCCCCUGGUGAGAUAACUGCGCCCACAGCAUAGGGAACACGAAGCUUAUUGCCCGCUGUGAAGUGUGGGGAGUAAAACCCAUGUUCCUACAGCC